rnacentral:rRNA from 1 species
UUAACAACGGAUCUCUUGGUUCUCGCAUCGAUGAAGAACGUAGCAAAGUGCGAUAACUAGUGUGAAUUGCAUAUUCAGUGAAUCAUCGAGUCUUUGAACGCAUCUUGCGCUCAAUGGUAUUCCAUUGAGCACGCCUGUUUCAGUAUCAACAACAACCCACAU